GCGUCUGAUUAGCUAGUGGGCGGGGUAACGGCCCACCAAGGCGACGAUCAGUAGCCGGACUGAGAGGUUGAACGGCCACAUUGGGACUGAGAUACGGCCCAGACUCCUACGGGAGGCAGCAGUGGGGAAUAUUGGGCAAUGGGCGCAAGCCUGACCCAGCAACGCCGCGUGAAGGAAGAAGGCUUUCGGGUUGUAGACUUCUUUUAAGAGGGAAGCGGUACCUCUAGAAUAAGCCACGGCUAACUACGUGCCAGCAGCCGCGGUAAUACGUAGGUGGCAAGCGUUGUCCGGAUUUACUGGGUGUAAAGGGCGUGCAGCCGGGUCUGCAAGUCAGAUGUGAAAUCCAUGGGCUCAACCCAUGAACUGCAUUUGAAACUGUAGAUCUUGAGUGUCGGAGGGGCAAUCGGAAUUCCUAGUGUAGCGGUGAAAUGCGUAGAUAUUAGGAGGAACACCAGUGGCGAAGGCGGAUUGCUGGACGAUAACUGACGGUGAGGCGCGAAAGUGUGGGGAGCAAACAGGAUUAGAUACCCUGGUAGUCCACACUGUAAACGAUGAAUACUAGGUGUGCGGCGUGCCGCAGUAAACACAAUAAGUAUUCCACCUGGGGAGUACGA
rnacentral:rRNA from 1 species